AUCCAGGAGUUUAAGGCGACUCUGAGCGAGCAGAAGAUCGAUCUCAAGGCUUUACGUGAGCUCUGCUUCAGCGGGAUCCCGUGUGAAGGAGGCAUCCGCGCGCUCUGCUGGAAGAUCCUGCUGAAUUACCUGCCGCUGGAUCAGGCGUUAUGGGAGACGUUCCUGACAAAACAGAGGUUACACACACACACACACAC